rnacentral:rRNA from 1 species
GACGAACGCUGGCGGCGUGCUUAACACAUGCAAGUCGAACGGAAAGGCCCUGCUUUUGUGGGGUGCGCGAGUGGCGAACGGGUGAGUAACACGUGAGUAACCUGCCCUUGACUUUGGGAUAACUUCAGGAAACUGGGGCUAAUACCGGAUAGGAGCUCCUGCUGCAUGGUGGGGGUUGGAAAGUUUCGGCGGUUGGGGAUGGACUCGCGGCUUAUCAGCUUGUUGGUGGGGUAGUGGCUUACCAAGGCUUUGACGGGUAGCCGGCCUGAGAGGGUGACCGGCCACAUUGGGACUGAGAUACGGCCCAGACUCCUACGGGAGGCAGCAGUGGGGAAUAUUGCACAAUGGGCGGAAGCCUGAUGCAGCAACGCCGCGUGCGGGAUGACGGCCUUCGGGUUGUAAACCGCUUUCGCCUGUGACGAAGCGUGAGUGACGGUAAUGGGUAAAGAAGCACCGGCUAACUACGUG